rfam:Candidatus Peribacteria bacterium RIFCSPLOWO2_12_FTLL_53_10 rifcsplowo2_12_scaffold_16523, whole genome shotgun sequence.
AAAACGUUACUCAUGCGCAUCACAUGGAUGCCUCGACUCUGUAUUCCGAAGAAGGACGUGGCCAGCUGCGUUAAGCUCCGGUCAGCCGCUAGGCAGGCGCUAAUAGCCGGAGAUAUCCGAAUGGNNNNNNNNNNNNNNNNNNNNNNNNNNNNNNNNNNNNNCUUUUUUCGUGCUUCAUGGUAACCAUGCAUCAGUCUGAUGUUUUGGUUAUCACAGGCACGAAAAAAGGUGCGGGGAGGUCACCUGGUGAACUGAAACAUCUCAUUAACCAGGGAAAAGAAAUCAAUAAGAGAUUCCCCGAGUAGUGGCGAGCGAAAGGGGAACAGCCCAAACCCAGCACCUUUUUUCCUGCUUUAUUGUAACCAUGCAUCAAUGUUCGGCAUGAGUUACACAGGCAUGAAAAAUAGGUGCUGGGGGUUGUAGGACUUCAUACGCUGAUCUUCCUCCUCUAGGCGAACGACCCUGGAACGGGCGGCCAUAGAGGGUGAGAGCCCCGUAGACGAAAGGGGGGGAAGCGGCAGAAGUAUCCUGAGUAAGGUCGGACACGUGAAAUCCGGCCCGAAUCUGGGAGGACCACCUUCCAAGGCUAAAUCAGAUACAGAGAUCUAUAGCGGAUAGUACCGUGAGGGAAAGGUGAAAAGCACCCCGGAAGGGGGAUGAAAUAGUUUCUGAAAUGUGAUGCGUACAAAAAGUCGGAGCCUGGCGCAAGCUGGGUGACGGCGUGCCUUUUGCAUAAUGAGCCAACGACUGUGUUCUCAGUGGCAAGGCUAAGGCAGUCUUUAGCCGGAGCCGGAGCGAAAGCGAGUCCGAAUAGGGCGCUUAGUCGCUGGGACACGACCCGAAACCGGGUGAGCUAUCCAUGAGCAGGAUGAAGGGCGCCGGAAGGCGUCUGGAGGUCCGAACCAUAAUGUAUCGCAAGACAUUGGGAUGACUUGUGGAUGGGAGUGAAAAGCUUACCGAACCCGGAGAUAGCUGGUUUUCCUCGAUAUGUUUUUAGGAACAGCCUCGUUAGAUACAGCGGGGGGUAGAGAUACUGUUUGGAUGCGGGGGUCCUUUGUGACCUACCAAAUCCUGACAAACUCCGAAUACCCGCCUUUCACUGACGGCAGUGAGACGGUGACAGCAAAUUGCCAUCGUCGUGAGGGGAAGAGCCCCGACCAUUGGCUAAGGUCCCUAAUGAAUGCUGAGUGGAAAAGGUAGUGUAGAUGCUUCAACAACCAGGAGGUUGGCUUAGAAGCAGCCAUCCUUUAAAGAAAGCGUAACAGCUCACUGGUCGAUGCAUCUAUGCGCCGAAAAUUUACCGGGGCAAAGCAUUCAACCGAAGCCGUGGAUUCCAGCACCUUUUUUCGUGCCUCUUUAGUAACCAUUCAUCACGCGUGAUCAUUGGUUACCGCGGACGCGAAAAUAGGUGCUGGAGUGGUAGAGGAACGUUCCCUGUGCAUUGAAGCCGAGCCGCGAGGUCAGGUGGAGUGCAGGGAAGUGAGACUGUUGGCAUGAGUAACUACUAGGCAAGUGAAAAACUUGCCCGCCGAAUUCCCAAGGUUUCCCACGCAACGGUCAUCGGCGUGGGGUUAGUCGGUCCUAAGGCCAGGCCGAAAGGCGUAACCGAUGGACAGCAGGUCAAUAUUCCUGCACUUCGUAAAAAUCGACAACGGUGUACGGUUGAUAGUUCUGUCGGCCUCUAAUCUUCACCAUUCUGAACUUACGAAAUUAGCAAUUAGAAGUGAGCAAUUAGAAAUUGCUCAUUGCUAAUUCCUCAUUGCUAAUUUGAUCCGAGUUUAGGAUGGUGAAGAUUAUGUCUACGGAAAAGGAUACCGUACAUUUAGAAGCGGUGUGACGGAGACGGAAGUCCGGAGCGUGUGCAUUGACUGCACGUGGAAGGCGCGAAGCGUUGAGGCCGGGAGGCAAAUCCCCCGGCUGAGCCGAGCGUUUACCCCAAUUACCCGCCGCAAGGCGGAUGAGUCCGAAACUUUCAGCUUCCAAGAAAACCAUCGCUUCGAGAGCUUUACGAAACCGUACCGCAAACCAACACCGGUGGGAUGGUCGAGUAGACCAAGGCGAACGGAUCAUCUUGUGUUAAGGAACUCGGCAAUGAAGCGUCCGUAACUUCGGGAUAAGGACUGACGGUCCCCUCGUGGGAUCGCCUGCAACAAAAGAGCCCGGGCGACUGUUUACCAAAAACACAGGUCCCUGCUAAGUCGCAAGACUAUGUAUAGGGGCUGAUGCCUGGCCAGUGUCAGAAGGUCACGUGAGGAGCUUUACGGCUCCGAUCCAAGCCCUGACGAACGCCGGCCGUAACUAUAACGGUCCUAAGGCCAGGCCGAAAGGCGUAACCGAUGGACAGCAGGUCAAUAUUCCUGCACUUCGUAAAAAUCGACAACGGUGUACGGUUGAU